GUCUACGGCCAUGCCACCCUCAACGUGCCCCAUCUCGUCUGAUCUCAGAAGCUAAGCAGGGUCGGGCCUGGUUAGUACUUGGAUAGACCACUUAUGAAUACCAGGUGCUGUACAUU
rnacentral:rRNA from 1 species